CUCUCAAUGCGAUACCAGAAUAUUUUGGCUUGUGGGAAAUCUUCUUUACCUGCCAUUCAAUCGGUAGACAAAACGACAAUUGAUCAACAAAUGAAAACUCCAAAAGACGUCGUGAAAAAARCAGGCUAAAACCAUUGUUUUGCAGGUGGGUCUGCAAGGUCAAUCCCAAUAUCUAACAGCCAGCCCAGGUUAGGUAUGUGUUGUUUUGGUGGUGAUUGACAGCCGGCCCGUCCAACGAUCCAUCACAUGAUCUGUCCUGGCACAAUUAAUUCGGGAAGAUGCUUAAAUUCUCAAAGACGUCAUCAAAGACGUUUGUACAUUUGAGUUUGAUUGCUGGAAUUGUAAUUAUCCUUUUAUUGAGAUAUGAUAGCACUCAUGUAUCAUUUUAUAAACUUCAAAGAUGGAUCCCGAGAUUUGUAAAAAACUCAAUCAGACGUUCUGUUGACGUCAAAGAGGAAAUUGAAAAUCACUUUCGGCUCCACUGGCGUCGAGAAAGAAAAGCGCGCACUGACUGGCGGGAGAUGAUAAAACCGUGUUUCCACAAUAUGGAAUGGGGUCAAGUGAAACCUGGAUGGGACAAGAAUCAACGAAGCGACGCCUCCAUGAGCUCAAUCAUCAUUCAAGAUCUCCGACCAGCAGGAGAAUACAGUCGUUUGUUCAUUGAAACUAAGACGAAAGA